AUUGAACGCUGGCGGAAUGCUUUACACAUGCAAGUCGAACGGCAGCACGGACUUCGGUCUGGUGGCGAGUGGCGAACGGGUGAGUAAUGUAUCGGAACGUGCCCAGUCGUGGGGGAUAACGUAGUGAAAAUUACGCUAAUACCGCAUACGAUCUAUGGAUGAAAGCGGGGGAUCGCAAGACCUCGCGCGAUUGGAGCGGCCGAUAUCAGAUUAGGUAGUUGGUGGGGUAAAGGGCCACCAAGCCAACGAUCUGUAGCUGGUCUGGGAGGACGACCAGCCACACUGGAACGAAGACACGGUCCAGACUCCGGCGGGAGGCAGCAGUGGGGAAUUUUGGACAAUGGGCGAAAGCCUGAUCCAGCCAUUCCGCAUGCAGGAUGAAGGCCCUCGGGUUGUAAACUGCUUUUGUACAGAACGAAAAGGUUUCUACUAAUACUAGGAGCUCAUGACGGUACUGUAAGAAUAAGCACCGGCUAACUACGUGCCAGCCGCCGCCGUAA
rnacentral:rRNA from 1 species